rnacentral:rRNA from 1 species
AUGGCUCAACAUAUCUACCAACAAGUGAAGCCUCAUUUCAAAAAGACAAUUUGGCUUUCUGUCUCAGAUGACUUUGACGUCAAGAAGUUAACUAAAGAAGCCUUGCAAUCCAUUUCUGGAGAGGAAAGCACUGGCCAGUUGGACUCGCUUCAACAUGCUCUUCAUAAAACUGUGUGCCAGAAAAAGUUACUUAUUGUCCUUGAUGAUUUAUGGGACGAUGCCUUGAAGGAGAAUGGGCAAUCUUGGAAGAGAUUCUGUGCACCUUUAAAAAAUGUGAGGAAGGGAAGCAUCAUGUUGGUCACCACUAGGUCUCAAAAGGUUGCUGAUGGAGUGCGCACAAUGAAGACAUUGAAAUUAAAUGGCUUGAAAGAUGAUGUCUUUUGGAAUUUCUUCAAACUAUGCAUGUUUGGAUCCGAGAGGUUUAGCAAUGAUCAUGAGUUAGAGCAAAUUGGUAGAAGCAUACUUCCUAAGCUGAAGGGUUCUCCUUUAGCUGCAAAAACUCUUGGACGCCUGCUAAGGAUGAACCGUCACACAACAUAUUGGAAUAAUGUUCUAGAGAGUGAAUUGUGGGAGUUAAGGCAACAGGAGGAUGACAUUUUGCCAGCCCUUCGGUUGAGCUACAUGUACUUACCAUUCUACCUAAAGAGAUGUUUCUCAUUAUGUGGUGUGUACCCUAAAGAUCAUGAAUUUGAGAAGGAUUAUUUAGCUGAAAUUUGGGUGGCGGAAGGCUUUGUGGAACCUCAGGGGGACAUUCCAAUUCAGGAUAUUGCUAGUCAGUACUUUGAAGAUCUUGUAAGUCGAUCUUUCUUUCAGAAAGUACACGGAGCAUAUGUAAUCCAUGACUUGCUUCAUGACAUGGUCCAAAUGGUUUCAAAGAAUGAUUGCUUCAUAUUAAAAAAUGUGAAUGAAUUCCAAAAAAUUCCUAAGAAUGUUCGUCACCUAUCAGUACUCUCUAACCCAAAGUUUGACUAUUCAAAGCUGUUAAGCCUAUGCAAGCAUGAGAAGCUGCGUACCCUGAUUUGCAACAUGCCCUUGGAGGAUAAAGUUGUAGCACCUGUAAUGGAUCAUUGGUGUACUGAACUUGGGCGUAUGCGCGUGAUUAUUUGUGCCUCUACAACUGGGUUACCGGGUAGUGUUUGCAACUUGAAGCAUCUUCGGUACCUUGAAAUCUCCAGAGCUUCUCCUUUGAAGAGCCUUCCUUCAACGUUCUGUUGCCUCUAUAAUUUGCAGAUUCUUUAUAUUGGGGAAUGCAAGAUAGAAAGUUUACCCAGUGACUUCGAUAAGUUGAUCAGCUUGAGGAGAAUUGAAUUAUGUGGAUUUCGAUAUUAUCUAGAGUAUCAACUAAACUGCGAUGCACUAGAAGCUGAACAAAAAAAGAGAUAUCUUCACGGUCUAAAAGUGCACCGGUCUUCGAUGAUGACUCGACAGAACAAUGUGACAGAAGCACUUCAACUUUUACAACCUCCCAAUGGUCUAAAAUCUUUGCAACUCCGAGAUUAUCCAGAUGUGUCUCUACCAAGAUGGUUUCAGCCACAAAAGUUAUCAAGCUUAAUUUCACUUGCAAAUAUUGGUAUUUUCACUUCCCUGAUGGAUCUAGCAAUUUCUGAUUGCCACAAGUUAUCAAGCCUUGAGCAUUUUCUACAUCCAGCUUCUAUACCAGCCAUCAAGAAAAUAGUAGUUAAAAAUUGCGAGAGGUUAAUAUCAGUACCAACUGAAAGAUUUGUGGAGUUCCAUUGCCUUGAAGAAUUGGAGGUGGUUUAUUGCCGAAAUAUCUGCUCCCGAAGUUUGGUGGCUCCUUCACUCAAGAGGCUUGUGCUGGGUUGUUCUGGGGAUUUAGCACACAAUAUUGAGUGUUGCUCCCUCACUAGCUUCUUCUUAUAUUAUUCCCGCCACACGUCCAUACACCUACAACAUCUUCCAGCCCUAAUGAGUUUGAGCAUUGCAAGGUGCGAGUCUCUUACAUCUGUGAGACCAGCGAUCUUCACUAACUUCUCCCAUUGUGGGUGCAGUGCCAGCGGCAUUACAUCGUUCUUGUUCCUUACGGUGCUAACCAUUAGCGGCUGCACUAAACUGUCAACCCUUGAUGGUCUCCUAACACAAGAAUGCCUGCCUGUCGUUGAGAGGAUUUAUAUUGCACACUGCGACGAGUUGCUCUCGCUACCCGGAGAAUGGUUCGGAAGUUUCCUUUGUCUCAACGACCUGGAGAUUUAUGAUUGCCAACGUCUGGACUGGCAGAGGGGACUGGUGCUGCCGUCGACGCUCCAGAGGCUCGUACUGGGCCAAUGUGGGGAUAUAUCUGCAUGGGUUCCCAGCUGCCUGCAAAACCUCGCGUCACUUGUUUCGCUGGAGAUGUCUGAGUGCCCGGGCAUAACAUCCAUUCCAGGUGACAUUUGGAGGACGAACCUUGCAUCUCUAGAGGAGUUAUAUAUCACCGAUUGUCCAGACCUGGUCUCAAUUGGGGGAUUGGAGGCCGUUGCGCAGCUAGGCACGCUGCACAUCUCUGGCUGCCCAAAGAUGAUAGAGAUGUAG